GAGACCUGUCAGUAGGUUCCUCACAACCCAGCUCAGCUGCAGAAUGGCCUUCCAACAGGAACAAGCAGCCAGUGGAAGCAGACCACUCAGAUCAAGCCAAGUUCUGUGUAAAUGGAAAAAGUUUGAAGCUAUCAGGGUCUUGCUAUGUAGCCCAGGCUGGCCUUGAACUCAUGGCAGUCCUCCUCCCUCAGCCUCACAAAUGCUGGGACUAGAGGCAUGUGCCACUAUGCCUGGCUCAGGACUUUAAACCAUGUGCACAUCACUUAAAAAACCAAACCAGCCAACCAAGCAAAGUUCUCAACUCUCUCCAUAAGAAGGUUGCUGCCCUCACUUUCUUGCAGCCUUGUGCUAAGGACCUUCCUGCUACAGAUGAGCCAGAUUUUCUUCUUCCUCCCAUGUUGCCACACAGCUCCAUGCCAGUCAACUGUCCUGUGAUAUUUCUGGAAAGGAGGAGACCUUUGCAUUUUAUAUCCCAUCCAGAACAGCAAGAUCUUUGCCUGGAAAAGACUGUUCAGUAGAGCUGAGGUUGCACUAAGCACACCCAGAAGUUGAAGCUGAAACAUCUAAGAAAUCUAGUCUUUCCAUUUCUGUGGGUGUUAAGGAGUCUGAAGCUUAAACAAUGAACAUGGUAGAGAUGAAGACUUUGAAGACUGUUUAAAGCCACAAGAUAAAAAGAAUAAAGAGCUGGAGGGUGCUGGAUUUCACUGAAAACAGACUGAGUUCAGAAGUCUCACCAGUAGAAGUUUAUAGUACAGUAAGUCCCCAACUUAACAAACCAACUCCAUUCCAGGAGAAAGUUCAUUAAGUCAGAUUCGUUCGCAAGUUCCACAAAAGGAGUCUUAUAUAUCUUUGACACAAAUAUACAAUGUAAAGCUUUAAAAAAACACAAAA
ensembl:lncRNA